rnacentral:rRNA from 1 species
GACGAAUGCUGGCUGCGUGCUUAACACAUGCAAGUCGAACGGUGAAAGGGAGCUUGCUCCCUGGAUCAGUGGCGAACGGGUGAGUAACACGUGGGCAACCUGCCCCUCACUCUGGGAUAACUCCGGGAAACCGGGGCUAAUACCGGAUACGACCUGGUGCGACAUCGCACCGGGUGGAAAGAACUUCGGUGAGGGAUGGGCCCGCGGCCUAUCAGCUUGUUGGUGGGGUAACGGCCCACCAAGGAGAGGACGGGUAGCCGGCCUGAGAGGGCGACCGGCCACACUGGGACUGAGACACGGCCCAGACUCCUACGGGAGGCAGCAGUGGGGAAUAUUGCGCAAUGGGCGAAAGCCGGACGCAGCGACGCAGCGUGAGGGACGAAGGCCUUCGGGUUGUAAACCUCUUUCAGCGGGGACGAAGCGAAAGUGACGGUACCCGCAGAAGAAGCACCGGCUAACUACGUGCCAGCAGCCGCCGUAAUAC